CAUGAUUCGUUCUGUUUAUUUUAUUUUCUCCUGGUUUUAAUUGAGUAUAUUUUGUGUGUUUUUUCUGUUCCCUAGUGUUCCUGUUCCCCUGUAGUCCAGUCUUGUGAGUUUUCAGUUUGUGUUUUACCCUGUUUCCCCUCCUGUUCUCUGUGUUUUAUUCUUUCGAUCAGUUUUCAGUGUUUAUUUCCUGUUUUAUUUUGUAGUAGUUUAUUCCUCGUGUUUCUAGUCUGGUUUUACUUCCCUAGUUUUCCCUCCUUCGUUAAUCGCCCAUGAGUUUCACCUGUGUCUCGUUUGCCUCACCUGUUGCUCGUUUCCCAGUGUGUGUAUAUAGUCCCUGUUUUCUCCUUUGUCUUUGUUGGUUCAUUGUGCAUUGAUGUGUGCGCGUAUGCUUGUAUCCCCAGUGUCUUUUGUUGGAUUUUGCCUUUUGACUGGACAUUUUAAAGUAAGUUUUUGCUGCUUUUCAUUCGGUUAUUUUAAAUAAAUAAUUUUCUUGUCUACGUUUUUGGUCAUUUCCCCUUUGUUUUUACUCUGGCACGUUACACUGGUAGCCAUUUAUUGAAGGUGAAAGUGUGAGAAAAAGACCUGAAAGCAGUUUGUGGUUUACAAAUAACUUUAACGGAGGAUAAAAUAGUAAACAUUUAAUGGCUUCAAUCGUAAAAUUCAUUCCAUUAUUCCAAAAUAUAUGUUUAUCUUCAUUAUUUGUUUAAGUCUUUGAUUUAUCUGCCAUCCAGUUGCUUUAAAAUUGAACCAUUAAAUGUGCCGUGCUCCAUUAAUCCACUAUUGAACAACAAACAGCGAUUAACUGCAUGACUGUGUGAAUAAAGAUCAAUCGAAGGUUUUCUAUUAUUAUCACACGCCUGGAUGAUUAAAAGCUAUCCUACCUGCUUCUAGCAUUUCAUUAAAAGGCUCUCACAUAUGCGCAUGUUGUUUUAUUAAAAUUCUAUCACAUUAAAGAGAUAAUUGAUUCGCUGAAUUUAUCUUAUCAUAUUACUGUCCCAUCAUAUCAGCUCCAGUAUCCAAUUACCGAGCAGAUUUCCAGCCCAGAGGCCAGCUGAUGCCUUUUGAACUAAGUCAUAAAACAUGCAUGGUCCAGUGGUGCCAUUUUCCAGCGUAAACCACUCAUUCCAGCAGUAUUGAUCCCUUAUAGAAAACAAGCCCUCAUUAUUUUUUCACAACUUUGUUUCAAGGGUGUCAGAUUUACUAUAGUCUCAUAUAAUAGAGAAAGGUAACAAAAACAGAAGGGAAGGGGAACAAAGGGACAAAUAUGAUUAAAGAAAAAACACAAUAAAAUGUGUAUGAUUUUAAUAAAUGUAAAAGAUAAUGCCCAGUUAGGUGUCUAUUGUUAGAUUUCUUUGGAUGAAAACCUGUAGACAUCCAUUCUAUGAUCAAUCAUUGAUAAUAUUUGUUGGUUUUGUAUUCAUGAUCUUGAGUUUUUCUCCAGGCUAAAAUCUCUUGUGUUGAGUUCUUUUAAAGUUUUAUAUUUCUACUCUGUAAAACCUUCAAAGUAGCUCUGUGUGAUUUACAAAAGAAAAAAAAAAAAACUAUCUAUCCCUCCAAGGUAUCUGUGGAAUCUCUUAGUUCUUGAGCACAGGAGAUUUCAGGCAAGUUCCCGCCUCCCUACAAGCCCUCUCUCCUCGGUUUGUCCAUCUCUUUGGGACAAUGUGGGAAAAAUUACUGAUCCUGUCGGGCAUAUGACCAUAUAAGGAGUUCAGUGACUUUGUGGUGCCGCAAAAUGGUAGGAAGAAAAAAACACCUGAAACCUGGCAUUUCAGUAUUUACAUUUACCAACUGAAGACGUACAGCAACUCUUGAAGGGAUGCUCCAGCACACAGUCAAACACACAGUAACACCGAGUUAGAACGUCCCCUGUUGCUGACUGCUUGCUUCUCUAGUUAUACCAACUUUUGCAACGACCGCAGGAUAGCGAUACACAGCGGACUACGUCUCCAUCUGUAAACCUCAACCAAAACGCCACUCUAUAAUGUUCAGAACAGCACCUAACCUCAUCAACAGCACAUAUAGGGUCCCGGCCAUAGCACUAGCCACCAAACAUCUUUUUAGCUUCGCCUAAUUUCUUUAGCAAAGAGACGAAACACAACUCACCCACUCUCCUCCAGCAGCCGCUUGUUUGUAGCGAAACCUCAGGCCAGUCCAUUACAGACUGCUGUGGGGUGACGCAGCUCAAGGAAGAACAUUUAUGAUCAUGGACUGGCCUGAGGUCUUGCUAAAAACAAGUGGCUGCUGGAGGAGAGUAGGUGAGAUAUGUUUAGUCUCUUUGCUAAAGAAAUUAGGCAAAGUUAAAAAGAUGUUUGGUGGCUAGUACUAUGGCUGGGACCCUAUAUGUACUGUUGAUGAAGUUAGGUGCUGUUCUGAGCAUUAUUUGUGGCUAUAGAGUGACGUUUUGGUUGAGGUUUGUUUAUGGCUCCUCAGACCGCUGUGCAUCGCUAUCAUUACUCAAGUUGGUAAAACUAGAGAAGCAAGCGGUCUGCAACAUUCAUCUCUCAAGGGGGUGUCUAACUUGGUGUCAUGUUGUGUUUGACCCUAAAUUAAUUUUACGCCGGAAAUAUUACAUUUACUACAAUAUACUACAAUACUACAUUUACUUACUAAAGGUUAGCCCUUCUUGUCUCUCUGUGCCAACUUAAAAAAAAUAAACCUUGUGCAAUGACUGACAAUAAAGCAGUGAUGAAUUUACAUGGACAAAUAUGUACUUUUUUUCACUCACUUCUUUGCUCUCCUCCUCCUUCUCUUAGCUGUAUUUUCCCAGUUUUACAUUCUUCAAAGAUGGCGGCCCUCUGCUAAUGUGUGUGCCAAGUGAUGGACUGAAAAGAACACAGAGACGUGGACGCAUCAGUGGAGAAGAAGUGAGACUGCAGGGACUGAGAGUGAGCAGGGCUAACAGGGAGGUAAUGGGACAUAUGUUGGAUGUGGUCACACGGGCUGGAGAAUUACCUGUGGUAAUUGGGGAACAGGGGAAGCAGCAGACAGAUUGUAUUACCUGAAGGACUUACACACCAAUCACACACACACAUACACACACAGGAAACCCAUGGAUCAGAGUAGAAGUAGCUCAGGCAACAUUGUCCAUGAGCUGUUCAGUUGACUUUGACUCCCACAGGUUAAGCGAUAAAAAUAAUCAACUGUAUUGGUUAUGUUUCAUGGUAUGGAGGUGGUUUGCAGGAGUUAUUUUAAAUGCUCUCUGAAUCACAGCUUUCACUCCUAACAUUCUCCCUCUUGUACUUGUAUGUUUCCACUUAGACUACCCAGAGCUGUAGGUCCAAAGGAACUACUUUUUGAAAACCUAGAAGCCUCCUUGUAGCAGCAUGUUGUCUGCAGUUGCAGGUAAAUGUCACUGUAUAUGCAGGAGAUUCGGCAUAUUUGGGUAUAAAAAGGCUUUUUUUUUUUGCACAUUAUUUUUGGAUGUGACAGGAUAACAAUGUCAAAGCCAUAUGAAGUGGUGUCAGAUUGUUAGAGGUCGCCGAUUUGAAUCUUGGUUGUAUUUAGUCCUCAGAAUAAAUGUUUAAUAUGAGUUCAGCUCCCCCUUUGCUGUCAUCUGCAAUUCUGUUGAUGCAUUAAAACUUGGACUAUCAGUGUCAAUGCAUUACUGAUGUUACAGAGGUGCAAAAGUUACACUUUAAAAUAAAAUAUCACUUGCUUUUCUGUUCCUGUUCUGGCUGCCAGUGUGAAAACUGUAAAUAAAGACACCACUGUGCCUUUAAACUGCAAAUUUCACUGAAAACAACUCCCAGAGUUUUCAGUCAGCAUGUCAGAAGUUAUACACACUCUGUGUCAAAGAGAAUAAAAAUAUUACCAAAGCUUAUCAGAAAAUGUUUACAAAGACGGAUACUGGACUACUGCAAGAAUCGAAUCAUUGCUAGAUGCACGUCCACCUCCACUACAGUAGGGGGCGACAUCCCCUUUUCAGCUUUGUACAACUUCAUUUGUUUACCACUCCGCUCCCUGCCAACCUGCUUAUGUUAUUAACCUUUUAGACUAAAGCCUGGGGUGAGAAUUUUGGAACAUGUGCAGACUGCUUAGGCCAGUUUAAGUCCAGUUGAGCUGUGUUCAUGGCAAAAGAAGAAUCAAUCCAAAACGACAUUAUCUAGGCGUAUUUGUCCAACUCAGGCAAUAAAUCAAGCUAAACCCAAUUCAACACAGCUCAACCAUAGACUGUUUAUAGAAUGGACGCCAUCUGCCUGAAGCCACCGUGAGAACAGCACCCUCUGGUGACAGGCUGCAGUAUAGGUCAUAAGUCCCGCCUUGUCCAGCAAUCCCUAUGGAGCCGUUGACAAACUUUGGAAAUAAAUAACACAGAAUAUAAUUUUUUCUCCCCCCUGGUUGUGAUGUUGACAUGUAGUUACUGUCAGACUGGUUUGUG
rnacentral:lncRNA from 1 species